CCCCCCGUCCCCCUGGGAAUCCAGCGGAAUCACCUCUGCACAAACUCGUCUUCUGAACCAGUGUGCGGAGAUGCUUCCGCCGCAUUCUCAGGGUCUCCCCACGUCCGGGG